rnacentral:rRNA from 1 species
AAACUAAACGCAGAUGGAGCGCAGUGGGUGGUCACCAACUAUUUCGACGAACACAACCACAAACUCAUAAAGAAGUUUGAUUUGGUAAAAUUUCUGAGCGCCCAUAGAGGAUUCAGCCUCCUCGAGAAGAAAUUCGUAAAGUUGCUACAUGAUCGUAACGUCGGUCCAUCAAGAAUGGUCCAAAUAAUGUCCCUGAUACACAGCGAAGAUGGUAGACUGAGUAGCAUGCCCUACAUACCAGCAUACGUCACAAACCUAAAGGCAAAGUACCGUAGAAAGAGCAGGCUGGCUGACAUAGAAGCCACGAUAGCCUACUUUGAAGAGAAAGCAAAAGCAGAUGUUGAGUUCUUCUACAAGAUAAGAUUGGACGAUGAGGACCGUGUCAGAAACAUGUAUUGGGUGCAUGGUGCUGCAAGAAGGGCCUACAAACAUUUCUGUGAUUGCAUAUCAUUCGACGUGACAUAUCUCACUAAUAUGUACAAGAUGCCCUGCGCUCCAUUCAUAGGAGUAAAUAACCACAAUACGGAUGGUUACACUUGGUUGUUCAAAACCUUCUUGAAGUGCAUGGAUGGACUUGCUCUGAUGAACAUAAUAACAGACCAAGAUUUUAGCAUGCGUGCAGGCAUAGGGGAGAUCUUCCCGUUGGCAGUGCACAGGCACUGCAGGUGGCAUAUUAUUAAAAAGGCUGAGGAGAUGCUAGGACCAUUUUUUGCUACUACACAGCGCAGCGAGGGGUUCAACACUGUUUUGAAGCGACGCGACGGGAUUGUGUGUUGUCACAUACUGAAAAUAAUGGACAUGCAUGCGGUCACGCGAUUGUCCCGCCAUUUCAUAAGGCGACGAUGGACUUGGGACGCUGACGAUGCGUUGGGGCCACAAACAUCAAAUGCAGUGUUGGCUCUGCAUAACGAGAGACCAAAGGCAACCAUGGAAGCCGUGAGGCACGUUGUGUUGACCAAGAACUAUGCUGAACUAAUAGAUGAAGCAUGCAAGAGCGAUGAGACAGCGAGGGUGGCAGAAAAACACAGGAAAGCCCUGAAAAGAGAGCUUGAUGAGAUCAAAAAGAGGAAGGCCGAAGAAGCCUUACACAGGUUCCCCCGCACCUCAAGUGUGCCUUCGUCCACGGGUCCAUCAUCUGAAAACUCGGAGGUAGGGUCUGGAACAGCAAGCAUGCAAACCCAGGUCAGAAACGCGCCCCGUUUCAUCACAAAAGGGCGUCCAAAAGAGAUAAGAUACAAAUCGGGGUUGGAAAUUCAAGCAAAACACAAGAAAACAAAGAAAGGGGCGGGCAAUACAGAAAAACAAUUGUGGAGGAUUAUAACUUAUGUGCUGGUGACAUUUUUUAUAAGGUAUAUGGUAAGGAUUUUAAAAAUUCGACAAUGA